GAAUAAUGGGCCUCACCCCAGAGGUGGCGAGGUCAGCUGUCCCUGAAGGUACUUUGACCGUAUUAGGUUUACAAGUCAAACAAACCACCCAAAGAAUGGCACGCAGCUCAUAGGGCAGGCUCCGUGGGCAGGAGCAGCGACUGCAACAGCCUUUGUGGAAGGCAAGAUGUGUUCUCAGCCAAGCGGGCUAGCACCACCUGACAGCCUCCCUGCCCUUGUCAGACCAGCCCCAGCACCAGGGGUCCUGGCAGCCCUGAGAGUAUAGUGAGACUCCUCUGAAGGGACUUGAGCAGGAAGCCUGGCAGCGGGAAGAUGGAUACUCCCCAGCCUCCAAGUCUGAGAGCCUGGCUCAGAGGACCCAAGGGAAGGUGUCAGGAGGCCGAGGUUUCAAAUAAACUGCAAGUUCACCUGACAGAUGGACAUCAUUCAUCAGCACAUGUGGAAAAAGGAUGUCAGAGGAGGAAGGAGCUAUCGCAGACUGGGGGAGGCCAGCUCCCGGAAUUGCUCCAAGGUCGUGAAUAGAAGACCUCAGAGUAGCUAGGGGUUAGGAAUAAAUUCUUUUCUAUCUA